UGAGUACGAGAUGCUACGGCAUCGAAGCAGUCUAUGUCAUACUUCCAAGAAAAGCUUGCACUGUCAUAAACAAAGAAUGCCUGUACCAUAACCGACACAGGUGGGUAGGUAGAGUAUACUAAGGGGCGCGAGAUAACCCUCUCUAAGGAACUCGGCAAAAUGACUCCGUAACUUCGGGAGAAGGAGUGCCUUAUUUCUAAGGUUGCAAUAACAAGAUCCAAGCAACUGUUUACCAAAAACACAGGUCUCCGCUAAGUCGUAAGACGAUGUAUGGGGGCUGACGCCUGCCCAGUGCCAGAAGGUUAAAGAAGUUGGUUAGCAUUAGCGAAGCUGAUAACUGAAGCCCUGGUGAACGGCGGCCGUAACAAUAACGGUCCUAAGGUAGCGAAAUUCCUUGUCGGGUAAGUUCCGACCCGCACGAAAGGCGUAAUGAUUUGGAUACUGUCUCGGAGAGGGGCUCGGUGAAAUAGACUUGUCUGUGAAGAUGCGGACUACCUGCACCUGGACAGAAAGACCCUAUGAAGCUUUACUGUAACUUGAGAUUGAAAUUGGACUUUAUUUGCGCAGUAUAGGUGGGAGGCGUUGAGAAUAAUCUUGCGGGAUUGUUGGAGCCAUCAGUGAGAUACCACUCUUGUAAUGUUAGAUUUCUAACUUUGUAUCAUUAUCUGGUCAAAGAACAGUUUCAGGCGGGCAGUUUGACUGGGGCGGUCGCCUCCCAAAGGGUAACGGAGGCGCACAAAGGUUUCCUCUGAACGGGUAGAAAUCGUAUCUAGAGUGUAAAGGCAUAAGGAAGCUUGACUGUGAGACCUACAAGUCGAGCAGGGACGAAAGUCGGUCUUAGUGAUCUGACGGUGCUGAGUGGAAAGGCCGUCACUCAACGGAUAAAAGUUACUCUAAGGAUAACAGGCUGAUCUCCCCCAAGAGUUCACAUCGACGGGGAGGUUUGGCACCUCGAUGUCGGCUCAUCGCAUCCUGGGGCGGUAGUCCGUCCCAAGGGUUGGGCUGUUCGCCCAUGAAAGCGGUACGCGAGCUGGGUUCAGAACGUCGUGAGACAGUUCGGUCCAUAUCCGGUGUAGGCGUUAGAAUAUUGAGAGGAGCCUUCUCUAGUACGAGAGGACCGAGAAGGACAUACCUCUGGUGUACCAGUUAUCGUGCCAACGGUAAACGCUGGGUAGCUAUGUAUGGAGUGGAUAACCGCUGAAAGCAUCUAAGUGGGAAGCCCACCUCAAGAUAAGUAUUCUCGU
rnacentral:rRNA from 1 species